GAUGAACGCUGGCGGCGUGCCUAAUACAUGCAAGUCGAGCGAACAGACGAGGAGCUUGCUCCUCUGACGUUAGCGGCGGACGGGUGAGUAACACGUGGAUAACCUACCUAUAAGACUUGGAUAACUUUGGGAAACCGGAGCUAAUACCGGAUAAUAUAUUGAACCUCAUGGUUCAAUAGUGAAAGACGGUUUUGCUGUCACUUAUAGAUGUAUCCGCGCCGCAUUAGCUAGUUGGUAAGGUAACGGCUUACCAAGGCGACGAUGCGUAGCCGACCUGAGAGGGUGAGCGGCCAGACUGGAACUGAGAGACGGUCAAGACUCCUACGGGAGGCAGCAGUAGGGAAUCUUCCGCAAUGGGCGAAAGCAUGACGGAGAAACGCCGCGUGAGUGAUGAAGGUCUUCGGAUCGUAAAACUCUGUUAUUAGGGAAGAACAAAUGUGUAAGUAUCUAUGCACGUCUUGACGGUACCUAAUCAGAAAGCCACGGCUAACUACGUG
rnacentral:rRNA from 1 species